rnacentral:rRNA from 1 species
UGGCGGACGGGUGAGUAACGCGUGGGUAACCUGCCUUAUACAGGGGGAGUAACAACCAGAAAUGGUUGCUAAUACCGCAUAAGCGCACAGGACCGCAUGGUCCGGUGUGAAAAACUCCGGUGGUAUAAGAUGGACCCGCGUUGGAUUAGCUAGUUGGCAGGGUAACGGCCUACCAAGGCGACGAUCCAUAGCCGGCCUGAGAGGGUGAACGGCCACAUUGGGACUGAGACACGGCCCAGACUCCUACGGGAGGCAGCAUG